rnacentral:lncRNA from 1 species
UAUCAAAACUGAGUCUCAUCAAUGUUCGAACUCAAGCGGAUAAGCUUUGUUCUUGACUGUUUGCGUCCCCUUGGCUUGCGCCCGAUACUCCUCCUUGGUUUCCAUUCUAGCAUAUGGAUCCAAGGGGAUUCCUUGUUCAAUCUCGGCUUUAUGAAAACCUAUGCAUUUCUCACUUGUCCACAUAAAAGGGAUAGGCAAACCAAAUGUAACCAGGUGUGGCUCAACAUCCAGUAAAGUUGAAACAGUCAUACUCUGGGACUAGAGGAGGGAUAAUUGACUGGUAUUGAUCGUGGAAACAGUUAGGGCUCUCCAUGUAGAUGUGGGGAAUUCAAUUACUCAUCGACAAUAUCUUCCAUGUCAUCAUUAUCUGAAUGAAAUGGCUCCAUCCGAGAAAAUCACUAAUCUUCACACAUUCUACAGUUAAAUAUUUACUUUAUUAUUUUAGUUUUAUUUCAAAUUAGUUCAAAGUUCUAUUUGAUUUCUAAUAUAGUUUCACUACUUAUAUUUUUGUAUUUAAAUUCAUGUUUUAGUUUUAAAGUAUAAUGUAUA